rnacentral:tRNA from 1 species
GUGUCGGUGGUAUAACGGUUAGCAUAGCUGCCCCCCCCCAAGCAGUUGAUCCGGGUUCAACUCCCGGCCGACACG